CGGGUGUGAGCUGCGCCGACCGCUCUGAGGGUUCGUGGCCCACCGCUCCUUCGCGGUCCCUGCCGCCACCGUCCACGCUCAGCGUUGUAGAGAAGAUGGUGGGUCGGAACAGCGCCAUCGCCGCCGGUGUAUGCGGGGCCCUUUUCAUUGGGUACUGCAUCUACUUCGACCGCAAAAGACGAAGUGACCCCAACUUCAAGAACAGGCUUCGAGAACAAAGAAACAGAAGCUUGCCAAGGAGAGAGCUGGGCUUUCCAAGUUACCUGACCUUAAAGAUGCUGAAGCUGUUCAGAAGUUCUUCCUUGAAGAAAUACAGCUUGGUGAAGAGUUACUAGCUCAAGGUGAAUAUGAGAAGGGCGUAGACCAUCUGACAAAUGCAAUUGCUGUGUGUGGACAGCCACAGCAGUUACUGCAGGUCUUACAGCAAACUCUUCCACCACCAGUGUUCCAGAUGCUUCUGACUAAGC
rnacentral:lncRNA from 1 species